CUGGAUUUGUAGCAUGUGGAAGUUCCCAUGGCAAGGGAUAGAACCCUUGCUACAGCAGAAACUCAAGCCACUGUAAUUCGCAGUAGUUACAACACUGGAUCCUUAACCUGCUGUGUCGCAAAGGGACUCCAAGAAUGGUCUUUUUUGAUACUUCUAAUUGCUAUAUUGUUUUCUUUUUUAUUUUAGAUUAAAAGUGGUAUUUAUUCUUUCCAAGUUUAAGAAGACUGAUUCUUAUUUUUCAUUGAUUACAUCAAGUUUUUUAUAAGCUAUUUAUCUGUGGUUCUUACUACUUGUAUUUUCUUUUCACUAAAUUUCUUCAUAAAGAGUUUUGUAGUUUGUUUUUUCAUUGAGGAACUUUGUAGUGACCUUGAGUAAACUAGAUGUAUGUGGGAAGGCAUCUGGUAAUCUAGAGAUUUGUUGUUUGCACACCAAGUAGGGGAAAUAUUUAGGAAAUAUAAGAUAUAUACAUAACUGGAUUAGUAGAAUAUUAUUAAUGACUUUAGACUAUGGUGUGCAUUUUAAUUGAUGUUUAUAAAUAACUUUACUCCCUGUGGUUUUGUAAUAUAACAUUUACCAAACUUCUUUUUUGAUGGAAUUUACAUAUGGCACAUCAGGAUGAUUAAAAGCCAGCAGUCUUUUCACAGCAUGGCAAAAAAUAGGAUUUGAUUUAUCUUUAUGCCUUGCCUACCACUUGCUGUGACUGUACUUUUGAAAUUUUAAUAUUCUCAUUUCUCAUAAGGAGUUUGUUAUGAAAAAUAUUAUGUAAAUAACUUUUUGCACUUCUAAGAAUUGGUUUUGAAUCUUUAUUUAAUAAAAUAAUUGUCUGAUGAGAGAAAAGAUAUGCUUGGUUCUCAAAAUCCAUAAUAAUUUCUCAAGAGAUAAUAUGUUUUAAAUUAAACAGAAUUGUAUGUAUUCUAACAUAUUGGAAUGUCAAAACCACUAAUACCAUAGCUCUUUAACCAGCAAUUAAAAAGUUUCAAAGUAUUUAGUGUAUGUAGAAUUAUCUACCUUAGCACAUAUUAGCAUUGCUAGAACAUUGUUAAGAAUUAAGAGAUAAACAGAAUUGAAUUUGCUAUUUCACUGGCAAAUGCAAUUCUUAAUUCUAUAUUUAAUUGACGUGGUAUAUAGAGUAGAAUAUAAGUUAAGAUGUUGUAUGGGUUUUUUUUUUUUUGGUCUUUUGUCUUUUUUAGGGCCACACCUGUGGCAUACAGCAUAUGGAGGUCCCAGGCGAGGGGUCUAACCGGAGCUGUUUCUGUUGGCCUACAACAGAGCCACAGCAAUGCCAGAUCCCAGCUGCAUCUGCAACGUACACCACACCUAAUAGCAAUACUGGAUCCUUAACCCACUGAGCAAGGCCAGGGAUUGAACCCUCAACCUCGUGGUCCCUAGUCAGAUUCGUUUCCACUGCGCCACAAUUCUGAUGUUGUAUGGUUAUAAAAGCAGACUAGUGAUAAUACAAGGGUUAUUUUAACAUAUAAGGAUUAUAACAAAUUAAAGUUGAGUGAUAUUCUAAUUUAGGUAAAAUAGACUACAAACUUGCUUUAAUGAUUUCAUCCCCUGAUUCCAUAUAAAAUAAUACUAGCCAUUGUGAAGUGAGAACUCAUUAAGUGUGUGAAAUUUAAUAUCAUCUCACUCUAUCCUUAUCAGAAUCUUGAAUUAUAAGUAACAUUUAUAUUCUAUAGUUGGGUUAAUUUAGACUCAGAGGUUUGAUUAAUUAGUUAUGGUUAUAGAUAGCAAGUGACAGUGUCAAAAUUUGAACCCAGAUAACUAUGACAAAACCCUGAUUCAAACAGAAGUUUAUAUUGUUUUAUUUAAAAAGUUAUCAUCUUUUGCUUUAUUAAGAGGUAAACCAAGUUGUGUAAAAUAUAUUUAAAAUUUCAGUGCUUAAUUUUCAUACCUGUAGGUCCUCAUUGGGUGUAGGGUUAGGAGGUAAAUAUUUAACCUAUUGGAAAGAAAGUGUAGGAAAUUGUGACUUCAAAUGCCAAGAGCAGAAUCUAGUAUGAACUCUCAUCUAUAUAGUCCUUUAAUAGCACACCAUUUCAUUUCCAAUGUCUAAUCCACUUUCAUUCUCAUGGUUUCCUUUUGAUCCUGUUGACCUUGUCAAUAGCUAUCUGAAGGGAGAGUCUCAUUAGAUCCAUGAUAUGGGUGGAGACACUGAAGCUCCUUGUACAAGGGUGCAUAGUUGUGAAGGGACUGUGCUGAGACUCGGAUCCAGGUUUUGGAAAUAGCUAUGCCCUUUCUACUUCACCACAGCUACUUUCAUGAAUGAAAGGGGAAAGAGUUGGCUUUGUUCAUGUUUCCUUCAAUGCUUAAAAAAAAAAAUCACUGAGAAGUUUGAGAUUCUGGUAAAGAUUUCAAAGUUAAAAGCCAUGGGUCUGGAGGUCAGGGUCAGAAGACAAGACACUGUGCUGUACAAAAUUUUUAUCAGGAAUACUAUUGUCAGGCAAUUGUUGAUGCAACUUCUAGUCUGUUUAUAAUAAAAUCAUAGUGUUAAAAUCACUCCACAUUCACUGCUUCUGUAGAAGAUUUGAUUUUGUUGGAUGUACUUGGGUUUCUGCCAUGUCAGCCAGAUGUGGAAAGUGAGAGCGGUGACGGUUGGGAUACAAGAAUGAGUGCCUAAUCAGCUACACUGACCUUUAAAGAUGAUAAUGUCAUGAAGUGAAUACAUUAUAUUAUUAUAUUGCAGAGCUAUAUAUCACAUCGCGUGGAGGAGGCAGAAGAAUUUGAAAUGUACACUUUUCAAGACUGAAUACACUUUUGAGUAGAAAAAGCUUUUUAAUACAACAUUCAGAUUAUGAGUUGCUUUGCCUUCUUUUAGAUAGGGUGGUCUGGAUUUAAUAUCUUUAUGAUGGAUUUACAAGCAUCA
rnacentral:lncRNA from 1 species